ACACUUUGUGUCUUUUCUCCCUAUUGAAAUCGAGGAGUAGUUCUAGCUCGGGGAUACGGAACUAGCUUAGGGAAGCAAAUAUAGCGUUCACUAUCGCCAAGACGUAACAGUAUGCUACGUUAAUCACUUGAUCUUGUCUCUGGUUUGGUCUAUGGUUUGUACCGAUUGUGUGUGUAUUAUGCACGAAUUAUUUCAUUGACCCCGACUGCGGAUCAGACGUGAUUACCUGCUGAACUUAAGCAUAUCACUAAGCUGAGGAAAAGAAACUAACAAGGAUUCCCCUAGUAACUUCGAGUGAACAGGGAUUAGCCAAACACCGAAGCCUGCGGUUAAUUGAUCGUAAGGCAAUGUGGUGUUUGGGAUGGCUUCAGGCAUUACAGCUCUGUCCCAAGUUCAGCAAUGAGUACGGCUUCCCAUUCUGGCCCAAAGAGGGUGAAAGGCCCGUGAGGGCAAAGAUCAAGUGUAACAGUUUUGCUCUGAGCUAACCUUGGAGUCAGGUUGUUUGUGAAUGCACUCCAAUGGGUGGUCAACUCCAUCCAAGGCUAAAUACUUACACGAGCCAAACGAAAUUGAGCAAUAACAGGUCUGUGAUGCCCUUAGAUGUCCGGAGCUACACGUGCGCUACAAUAACGGUGCCAGCGAGUCUGGAAACCGUCGUGACUGGGAUCGGGGCUUGCACUGAUUACGUCCCUGCCCUUUGUACACACCGCCAGUCACUUAUACCGAUUGAAUGCUUUAGUGAGGUCGUUGGAUUAGCGUCAUUGUAGUGUCUUUGCCGCUCGACUGAUGCUGAGAAGAUGACCUAAUUUGACUAUUUAGAGGAAGUAAAAGUCGUAACAAGGUUUCCGUAGGUGAACCUGCUGAAGGAUCAUUGACAUGACCCAAAAAUAUAUAAUGACGCAUGCACCUGGCUUCGUGCUGGACUGCAUUUACGCUGGCUUAGCGGUAAAUAUUCUCAGCUGCAGAGUUAACCAUUAGUUCUAUGCAUUUGGGUAACCGAUGUAUGGGAUUAUUGGCGUACAAGUUUGAGCGGUGGAUCACUCGGCUCGUGUGUCGAUGAAGAGUGCAGCCAACUGUGUGAAUUAAUGUGAACUGCAUACUGCUUUGAAUAUCGACAUCUUGAACGCAUAUUGUGGCUACGGGAUAUUUUGUGGCCACGCCUGUCCGAGGGUCAGCUUUUCAUCUAUCAUGGCACACAUUAAGUCGUGGAUUGGGCGAGUGCUUGCCGGCGCUUAAACUCGUAUAUCAACGCGGGUUGCUGGUCAAAGGCUCCGUAUUAAUAAUCCGGCUACAGCCCAGUCUGGUCUAGAUGACUUGAUUGAGAUGCUGCGGUGGGUUGUGCUCGAGUCGUGGCUUAAUGACAUUAUACACGCUCGGGAGAAUUCGCACCUAUCGUAUGUGUUAUAUACCCCGGUGAAUUAAGAAUGGUAACUUUUAGGUCUAUUUAUGGAUCAAUGUAAUAUGCCUAUUUCCUAUUGUGCAAUUAUUACGUAACUGAACUAUUCAUAUUCGUAUUUCUCUUAUCAUUAGCUUUAUUUUGACCUUUGACCUAUUAUCAUACGAUUAUUGAGUUAUAAACAGUUUAUUGAUUACUUUGGUUUGUAUGAAAGCUCGGUGUGUUUGUAAAUAAUGAUUCAUAUUGCCGAGGCUGUUAUUUGUGUUCUGUACUCAACUGCUUGGACUAGGCAAAU
rnacentral:rRNA from 11 species